UCAGACGCGAUUUCGAAUGAAUUGCGAUAUUUCGCAUAAUCAUGUUUCAGAUGGAAAUUGAAACAUCGCCGUAGCCGCACGGCCAACGGUCUUAUCUUUAAGUUUAAUUAUCGGUCGGUUCACCGUCAAAAACUAACAGUGCAAAGUCGUGUCUCCGCGUCUCACGCCGUACGUUCGUGAGACGGAGACAGCAGAUUAUUUUUACGAUUUCGAAAGACUGUUGUUGUUUUUUUUUUUUUUAUAAUAAACUAUAAUAGCACAAUGCCGCGGUGUCCGUCGACGAUGCGUACGGAAUGUACUUUAUAGCGUAUAAAAUGCCGCUCGGAAACGCUGUUAUAAUAUCAAAUAACGGCUGGCAAAAUUACCGUCCGGUCGAACGAAAACGAAACCUAUACCCGUAAUGCCUACUGCCUAUUAUACUAUUUCUGAAGCUCGGUUGAAAAAGGACCAUUUUCGUUUUCUGGUGAAAACGAGUUACAUGGCCAAUCAUAUACAAUUUUAUAUGCUUUUUCCAGUGGUAAAAGUGCGUACCCCAAUAAACAUUAUUGCGAGAUUUGAGAAGACCAAUGUUGCUAGAAAAAUUACUAUUUCAAUAUCAAAAAGACCCGGAAAUGUGUUUUAUUCUUAAUGUUCCGUAAUCGGUUAUCGGUGAGAUUCGCCUUUUUCGACCCAAACUCCAGAUUUAUAUAGCAGUGUACACACGCGGAGGUUAAAGUUAGAUUCAUAUAUAUGUAAAUUACUUAUCUGAGACCAAGAGAAGACCGAGAGGACGGCCAAGGCAACGGUGGUGACAGAGUUACCGAGGUAGGGUUACCUGCUCCUGAUAAUACGGGAUCGGUCUUGUUAGGUGUUCGUAAAUACUUUUCGACGGACGUGCUUUGAAUAAUUUGGAAAUACUUGUGUAUCGUAUUUUUAUUCCGGAAUGUAAAAUAAUUUUGGCUGUGUUAAACCAUUAUAACAUAAUAACAAUAUUUCCGUAUUUUACGGUUUUAAAUUUUAAUUGUUUCUCGAAUAACAUUUUACAAUUAAUUUCUACCUGUUCGUAAUAAGAUUUCUUCAAAAAAUAUUAUCAUAAUUUAAUAACCUAUCGUAUUAAGAAUAUUAUCGAUCUGGCUCUAAAUUCAACCUAAAAAGCUAAUUUACUAAAAUAAUUAAAUAAGUAAUAUGGUAGUCGGAAAUUCUUGAAUAUUUUCAAAUUAAAUAUCUAUAAAUAAAUUUAAAUUUUAUUUGUAAUUUAUUGUUAAUAAACAUUUUUCCAAGUAUGUCAAUUGUAUUGAAAAGUAAGUAUAUUUUUUUAUAAUAAUUAUUUUUUAUUGCUGUACAGGUAAGAU